rnacentral:rRNA from 1 species
GAGAGAUCGGGCGUUCCCCUUCGGGGGGACAGGGUGACAGGUGGUGCAUGGUUGUCGUCAGCUCGUGUCGUGAGAUGUUGGGUUAAGUCCCGCAACGAGCGCAACCCUCGACCUUAGUUGCCAGCAUUCAGUUGGGCACUCUAAGGUGACUGCCGGCUAAAAGUCGGAGGAAGGUGGGGAUGACGUCAAAUCAUCAUGCCCCUUAUGACCUGGGCUACACACGUGCUACAAUGGGCGGUACAAAGGGUCGCGAACCCGCGAGGGGGAGCCAAUCCCAAAAAGCCGCUCUCAGUUCGGAUUGCAGGCUGCAACUCGCCUGCAUGAAGCCGGAAUCGCUAGUAAUCGCGGAUCAGCAUGCCGCGGUGAAUACGUUCCCGGGCCUU